rnacentral:rRNA from 1 species
AGCGAACGCUGGCGGCAGGCCUAACACAUGCAAGUCGAACGAACUCUUCGGAGUUAGUGGCGGACGGGUGAGUACCACGUGGGAACGUGCCUUUUGGUUCGGAAUAACUCAGGGAAACUUGUGCUAAUACCGAAUGUGCCCUUCGGGGGAAAGAUUUAUCGCCAUUAGAGCGGCCCGCGUCUGAUUAGCUAGUUGGUGAGGUAACGGCUCACCAAGGCGACGAUCAGUAGCUGGUCUGAGAGGAUGACCUGCCACACUGGGACUGAGACACGGCCCAGAAUCCUACGGGAGGCAGGAGUGGGGAAUCUUGCGCAAUGGGGGAAAGCCUGACGCAGCCAUGCCGGGUGAAUGAUGAAGGUCUUAGGAUUGUGAAAUUCUUUCACCGGGGACGAUAAUGACGGUACCGGGAGAAGAAGCCCCGGCUAACUUCGUG